GAGCUGUGAUGCCGAGGGAAUUAUAGUACCGAAGUUCCUGAUUCCACACUGCCAAGAAAAGCCUCUAGCAAGAUAAAAGGUGCCCGUACCGCAAACCGACACAGGUAGGCGAGGAGAGAAUCCUAAGGUGAGCGAGAGAACUCUCGUUAAGGAACUCGGCAAAAUGACCCCGUAACUUCGGGAGAAGGGGUGCUUUUUAGGGUGCAUAGCCCUGAAGAGCCGCAGUGAAUAGGCCCAGGCGACUGUUUAGCAAAAACACAGGUCUCUGCGAAGCCGCAAGGCGAAGUAUAGGGGCUGACGCCUGCCCGGUGCUGGAAGGUUAAGAGGAGGGGUUAGCUCACGCGAAGCUCUGAAUCGAAGCCCCAGUAAACGGCGGCCGUAACUAUAACGGUCCUAAGGUAGCGAAAUUCCUUGUCGGGUAAGUUCCGACCCGCACGAAAGGCGUAACGAUCUGGGCACUGUCUCAACGAGAGACUCGGUGAAAUUAUAGUACCUGUGAAGAUGCAGGUUACCCGCGACAGGACGGAAAGACCCCGUGGAGCUUUACUGUAGCCUGAUAUUGAAUUUUGGUACAGCUUGUACAGGAUAGGUAGGAGCCUGAGAAGCCGGAGCGCCAGCUUCGGUGGAGGCGUCGGUGGGAUACUACCCUGGCUGUAUUGAAAUUCUAACCCGCACCCCUUAUCGGGGUGGGAGACAGUGUCAGGUGGGCAGUUUGACUGGGGCGGUCGCCUCCUAAAGAGUAACGGAGGCGCCCAAAGGUUCCCUCAGAAUGGUUGGAAAUCAUUCGUAGAGUGUAAAGGCACAAGGGAGCUUGACUGCGAGACCUACAAGUCGAGCAGGGACGAAAGUCGGGCUUAGUGAUCCGGUGGUUCCGCAUGGAAGGGCCAUCGCUCAACGGAUAAAAGCUACCCCGGGGAUAACAGGCUUAUCUCCCCCAAGAGUCCACAUCGACGGGGAGGUUUGGCACCUCGAUGUCGGCUCAUCGCAUCCUGGGGCUGUAGUCGGUCCCAAGGGUUGGGCUGUUCGCCCAUUAAAGCGGUACGCGAGCUGGGUUCAGAACGUCGUGAGACAGUUCGGUCCCUAUCCGUCGUGGGCGCAGGAAAUUUGAGAGGAGCUGUCCUUAGUACGAGAGGACCGGGAUGGACGCACCGCUGGUGUACCAGUUGUCUUGCCAAAGGCAUCGCUGGGUAGCUAUGUGCGGACGGGAUAAGUGCUGAAAGCAUCUAAGCAUGAAGCCCCCCUCAAGAUGAGAUUUCCCAUAGCGUCAAGCUAGUAAGAUCCCUGAAAGAUGAUCAGGUUGAUAGGUCAGAGGUGGAAGCGUGGUGACAUGUGGAGCUGACUGAUACUAAUCGAUCGAGGACUUAACCAA
rnacentral:rRNA from 1 species